ACAUGGAACUUUGGUUUCUUUAC
rnacentral:snRNA from 1 species